rfam:Branchiostoma floridae genomic scaffold BRAFLscaffold_149, whole genome shotgun sequence.
GUUUACCUGUGUGUGGAUGGUAUUCAGCACCAAGGACAGGUAUGUUUACCUGUGUAUGGAUUGUGUUCAGCAUCAAGGACAGGUAUGUUUUCCU